CCAGAUCUAAAUUCCACUCCAGAACGCCUCUGCUUCUCUCACACUCAAUCUCCAUCCUCUGCACUUAGCCCUAGCUCCUGGCCGUUCCCUUACCUCCGUCCAGCCACCGCCUCGUGCCGCCGCCGUCGUUCCUUCCAACAGCCACCGUCUGCUCGCUCACCUUCCCUCCAUCACGCAGCAGCCAUCGAUAUCAACCUUCCCUUCCAUUGCGCAGAAAUCGCAACCUUCCUCCGUCGCGCAGCCACGCCGCCGCCGGUACUAUCUCUGUUCUCCGCAACCACUGUCCCAGUUCGAAGCCCGUUCGAAGGUACUCCACCACUGUCUUGGUCACUCGGUGUCUCUAUCUCCCAUCGCGCAGCCAUCGCAACCUUCCUCCGUCGCGCAGCCACGCCGCCGCCGGCACUAUCUCUGUUCUCCGCAACCACUGUCCCAGUUCGAAGCCCGUUCGAAGGUACUCCACCACUGUCUUGGUCACUCGGUGUCUCUAUCUCCCUUUUGCAUGCUCUGUUGAAGGCUUCUUCUAGCUUCUAGGUAAAUUUUUAUUAACUAUGAUUGAACCAUUGUUAAUGUUUGAUUCUGCGAAGCUCUGUGAACUGUGAAGUCGCUGAAUUGUGAACUGAAUUGCUGAUUUACUGAAGCUUCUAGCUCUGUGAAGUCUUUGAUUUACUGAUUUAUUGAAUAAUUGUUUGAUUCUUUUAGCUUCUAGUUCUAGGUAAUUUUUUUUAUUAACUAUGUGAUUUACUGAUUGUUUAUUGCUCUAUGAAGUGUGAACUGUGAAGUGUGAAUUGAUUCAACUGAAGUUAUUGAACUGAACUGUGAAGUUUGUUGAAUAAUUGUGAAUAAUUAUUGUUAGUUAAGCUGUGAAGUGUGAACUACUGAAGUCACUGAAGUGUGAACUGGUUUAUGGAUUUAUUGAAUAAUUGUUUGAUUCUUCUAGCUUCUAGUUCUGGGUAAUUUUUUUGUUAACUAUGUGAUUUACUGAUUUUUUAUUGCUCUAUGAAGUGUGAACUGAUUCAACUGAAGUUACUGAAUUGAACUGUGAACUUUGUUGAAUAAUUGUGAAUAAUUAUUGUUAGUUAAGCUGUGAAGUAUGAACUACUGAAGUCACUGAAGUGUGAACUGUUUUACUGAUUUAUUGAAUAAUUGUUUGAUUCUUCUAGCUUCUAGUUCUAGGUAAUUUUCUUAUUAACUAUGUGAUUUACUGAUUUUUUAUUUCUCUGUGAAGUGUGAACUGAUUCAACUGAAGUUACUAAACUGAAGUGUGAACUUUGUUGAAUAAUUGUGAAUAAUUAUUGUUAGUUAAGUUGUGAAGUGUGAACUUCUGAAGUCAUUGAACUGUGAACUGAUUUACUGAUUUACUGAAGCUUCUAGCUCUGUGAAGUCUCUGAUUUACUGAUUUAUUGAAUAAUUGUUUGAUGCUUCUAGCUUUUAGCUCUAGGUAAUUUUUUUUAUUAACUAUGUGAUUUAUUGAUUUUUUAUUGCUCUGUGAAGUGUGAACUGUGAAGUGUGAACUGAUUCAACUGAAGUUACUGAACUGAACUGUGAACUUUGUUGAAUAAUUGUGAAUAAUUAUUGUUAGUUAAGCUGUGAAGUGUGAACUACUGAAUUUUGUUGUUUGUUGAGUAAUUGUGAAUAAUUUUGAAUAAUUUUGGAUGUUGUUUGUUAUGAUCUUGAGAUUAUUGGGUUGGAGUGGGUUGUUGUGAUAUUGUAAUUGGCAAAAACCAUUAUUGGAUUGCUGGUAAUGUUUAGGUAUGGAUGAGAGUAUCAACCAAGAACCAUUAUUGUAAUUGGAUGAGAUCAUAACAUCCUAGUUUAUGUAGUAUUUUUAAUUUGGAUUAUAUUUUAAGGUUUAUAUUAGACUAUAAUUAUGUUUUAAUGUUUUUAUUUAUAUUUUAUUUAUUAUUUUAUUAUAAAACGGUUUUUCGGUUUAAUCACGGUCGAACCGGUUGAACCUAUGAACCAGUGAACCAGUAACUAGAGCNNNNN
rnacentral:lncRNA from 1 species